AUUCGCAAUUUUUAAUGCAUAUGGUGGAUGCCUCGACUUAAAAAGGCGAUGAAGGGCGUAGCAAUCUGCGAUAAGCCACGGGGAGCUGAUAAGCAAGCUUUGAUCCGUGGAUUUCCGAAUGGGGAAACCCAACUACGAAUUGUAGUUUUCCCGCUCAAUUUUUUAUCUUUAGAAAUAAUCAUUUUAAUCUUUCAAAAUAAAAAUUUGAGCGGGAAGUAAACCCGCUGAAGUGAAACAUCUCAGUAAGCGGAGGAAAAGAAAACAACGCUUGCGCUUUGCGCAGGCAAUUCCCCUAGUAGUGGCGAACGAACGGGGAACAGUCUAAACCCUAAAAAGUGUUUAUUAACGAAGCUAAUAUAUUUAAUAUUAAUGGAUUUAAUGAUAAAGGCGCGAGCCGUUGCUUUUUUGGGGGUUGCAAGGGACUCUGAUUUCUGUCUCUCGCGAGACAGAAGAUAAGUUACAAAAGUACUAUUUAGCCGAACUCCGAUGGAAAUCGGAGACCAAAGAAGGUGAUAGUCCAGUAGGCAAAAAAUAGUACUCUUAUCCUAUGAGUUUUCUUAAGUAGGCCAGGACACGUGAAAUCCUGCCUGAAGCUGGGUCGACUAUGAUCCAAGACUAAAUACUUUUUAAGAUCGAUAGUGAACAAGUACCGUGAGGGAAAGGUGAAAAGCAUCCCGGUAAGGGAGAUGAAAUAGUAUCUGAAACCAUAUGUUUACAAGGAGUCAGAGCCAUUUGCUAUUGCAAAUGAAAUUUCCAAGCAACAGAUAUAAUUCCCGAAAAAAUUUUCAAUAAUUGAUUUUCAAUCCUUAAAACUCUAAAUGUUGUUUUGGGAUUUGAAUUUUGAAAUUUGAUAUUUAUUUGGAUUGUUAUUUGAAAAUUGGAAAUUCCCUUGCGAUAGCAAGGGCGAUGGCGUGCCUAUUGAAGAAUGAGCCAACGAGUUUAUGUAUAUUGCUUGUUUAACCCCUCGCUUUUUAGUUGAUAUCCCGCUAAGCCAAACGAACAGAAGCGCUGUUAAUAAAACUUCUAUUGACUGCUAAUAAAUUUAUUUCAAUGGUAAAUUAUUAAAAUUAAUCGACUAAAAGGUGAGGGGGAAGACAUAGGGAAACCGAGUCUUAACCGGGCGAUUUUGGUAGUAUAUAUAAGACCCGAAACCAAGUGAGCUAGCCAUGACCAGGAUGAAUCCCGCGUAACAGCGGGAAAAGGUCCGAACCCAAGCGCCGUGCAACACGCUGGGAUGAGUUGUGGUUAGAGGUGAAAUUCCAAUCGAACUUGGUAAUAGCUGGUUCUCCUCGAAAUAGCUUUAGGGCUAGCGACAAUUAAUAUUAUGCAGGGGGUAGAGCACUGGAUGGGAUUUGAGCUCGCAAGAGUAUCUGUCCCAAUCAAACUCCGAAUACCUGUAUAAGUUCCUGUCAGUCAGACUAUGGGGGCUAAGCUCCAUUAGUCAAAAGGGAAACAGCCCAGAUCUUCAGCUAAGGUCCCUAAAUCUACGUUAAGUGUUAAAGGUGGUAAUUAAUCUUAUACAACUAGGAGGUUGGCUUAGAAGCAGCCAUCCUUUAAAGAAAGCGUAACAGCUCACUAGUCAAGAAUUUUUGCGCCGAAAAUUUAUCGGGGCUAAACGUAGUACCGAAGCUAAGGCCCUUCACGCAUUUUUGCUGUAAAUUCUUUACCGCAAAAAUGCGUGAAGGGGGUAGAGGAGUGUUCUAUAUCCGUUGAACCAGUAUUCGUGAGGAGCUGGGGAGAAUAUAGAAGUAAGAAUGUUGGCAUGAGUAGCAAAAAGGCCGGUGAGAAUCCGGCCCACCGAAAAUCUAAGGUUUCCUGGGCAACGGCAAUCGACCCAGGGUUAGGCGGGCCUAACCGUUCACCUGAAAAGGUGAGGGGGAUGGAUGAGUGCGUUAAUAUUCGCACCCUGCUUUAUUCUUAUCUUUCAACGGACGCAUCUUGAAAACUGGAGCACGUUUUGGCUAUAUGUGUCUAGCUCAAAAGCGCUUGCGCUUUUGAGCGGGCGAAGUGAAACCUCCGGGUGGAUCAAAGUUUAGCGGACAAGGUGCCAAGAAAAAUUUGAAAGUAACGGGAUUAAGCAACCGUACCGUAAACCGACGCAGGUAGAUGAGGCGAGAAGCCUAAGGUGUACGAGAGAACCCUCAUUAAGGAACUCGGCAAAACAGCGGCCGUAACUUCGGAAUAAGGCCUACCCACGAGAUUGGUCGCAAGACUUUUAUUUCGUGGGUCUCAGCGAAAGACCCCAAGCGACUGUUUACCAAAAACACAGGUCUCUGCUAAGUCGUAAGACUAUGUAUAGAGGCUGAUGCCUGGCCAGUGUCCGAACGUCAAGAUGAACCGUCAUUUUCCGAUUUAUCGGAGAGGCAGCGGUGAUUCCAAGCGCGGAUGAACGCCGGCGAUAACUAUAAUCGUCCUAAGGUACCGAAAUUCCUUGACGGGUAAGUUCCGUCCUGCAGGAAUGGCAUAACGAUUUGGGGACUGUCUUGAUGAGGGACUCGGCGAAAUUGCAAUGCCGGUAAAGAUGCCGGCUACUCACAGUUAGACGAAAAGACCCCGUGAAGCUUUACUACAACUUGAUAUUGAUAUAUAAAAUGUUCAUGUUCAGAAUAGGUGGGAGCCUUCGGGCGCCAGUGAGAUACCACCCUUGGCGCUUUGUAUAUCUAACCCUUCACUUUUAUAUUAAAAAUUAUUUUAUGUGUUAAACAUAAAAUCACAAAUUUUGAUGUAAAAGUGAAGGGAACAGUAUCUGGCGGGUAGUUUGAGUGGGGCGCUCGCCUCAUAAAAUGUAACUGAGGCGUUUAAAGGUUGGCUAGCUGCGGAUGGAAAUCGCAGUGAUAGGGUAAACCCACAAGCCAACUUUACUGCAAGACCUACAAGUCGCGCAGUUGCGAAAGCAUAAGUUAGUGAACCGACCAUCUCAUAUAGGAGAAUGGAAGAUCAACGAAUAAAAGUUACUCCGGGGAUAACAGGCUAGUCGCGCCCAAGCGUCCAUAGCGACGGCGCGGUUCGGCACCUCGAUGUCGGCCCAUCGCAUCCUGGGGGUGUACAAGCUCCCAAGGGUUUGGCUGUUCGCCAAUUAAAGCGGUACGCGAGCUGGGUUCAAAACGUCGUAAGACAGUUUGGUCUCCUAUCUACUGUGAGCGUGUAAAAAUCUUGAGGGGCCCAUUCUCUAGUACGAGAGGACCGAGAAUGACGAAUCUCUGGUGUUCCAGCUGUGUGUGCCACAUGCAUGCUGGGUAGCUACAUUCGGGUUGGAUAAGCGCUGAAAGCAUAUAAGCGCGAAGCCGUUCCCAAGAUUAGGAUUUUUUAACCACCUGGAAGACUACCAGGUUGAUAGGCAGUCGGGUACAAGUGCAGUAAUGCAUUCAGCCUAGGCUGUACUAAUUGGUUUUUUGCGAAUUC
rfam:Candidatus Kuenenbacteria bacterium CG1_02_38_13 cg1_0.2_scaffold_10190_c, whole genome shotgun sequence.